rnacentral:lncRNA from 1 species
UUUGCUGCCUCUUAACUUGGGCUGCCCCUGCAAUAUAGUUGGGUUAUAUAGCCACGCUUUUUUCCUCAACCCCCAUGAAUCCAUCAACACACAUCUGUGAUCCUGAAGAAAGAAAUGAGAACAAAACCCUGUACAAUAACAUUUCAAGGACUAAGCAGCCAAGGACGAAUAGAGCUAUGAACAUAAAAACUUAAUCAUGGCUACAAAGCAAGAUUGCCGCCUUUAAUUUUAUGUGUUAGGGUGAUCAAAAUGUUCUUUUUAGAAAGCAGCUGGAUAGCUCAUCUGAUGCUGCAUAGCUCUCAGAAACAAACAACUCAUAUGCAUUUUUUGCUUUCAGGGUCUUAACAAGGAAACAUUAAUGAAAAGAGGCAUGCCGUGACCAAGAAUCAUUGCACCGUUGGCUCUGAAAACCAAGGUGGCUGGAGAAAAGUGGCAGCCCCUAAAGCAUCUCUAUGACAUAUGGCAAACUUGCUUUCAGGCAAUUAUUGUGGAGGCUCUGAAUGCUGGGAUACGGGCCAUAUCCUAGCCUCAGGCCAACUCCGUUUUCAACAGGAUGCCAAAUUCAUAGGAAUCCCUGGUGUGUACAAUGUUCAUGGAGCAGGUUCCAAAACAAAUACAAUUGUGUUGAAGCUUGGCCAGUUUCCUUACUACUGGUUGACCAAGAAAGUCAGCCAAUCUAACAGUUGGUUAACAAGGGAAGAGAAAUCUAGCCUCCCUAUUAUAGAACAAGAGGGAAGAGAGUAUAAUAAAUUUCCCCAUUGAAUUCCUUGCCCAUUGUAUGCCACACAACCUAGCACACACCUGUUUGUUGUAUCCACUCCAAAAACACAGAACAAUCCCUUUUGGGAUCCCAAAGAAGCAAAGAACAAGGCUGUCUUUUUCUUUUGCUUUGUCAGGAACAGAACCAUGCAGUGACUUCUCUGCAGAAGCUUAUGAAACGGCUGAGCAAAGGAGUCGGCAACAGCAGGAGGGAGCUGAAGAGAAACACCUGUGUCUAAAGUCAGGGAGAUUUGAGGCGAAGGUUUGUGGACUGAAGGAAAAGAGAAGCAAGGCUUCCCCUGGUCAUGAAGAUGCCUUUUCAUUAUAUAUCCAACCAUAAAAUAAACGUGACCCAAAUAACAUGUGGCCCCUGAAAAUCCCCAGAGCCCUGAAAUAUCCAAGAAGAUUGUGCUGAUUUCUGGUCUGUUUUCACACCAAAACAGCAGCCCACUCCAACCAACCACAAAUGGGGUGGCUUUUCCCCUCUAACCCCUUAAAACCUCUCAAACAAUC